GCCUUCCACCCUCGGAGUGGCUUUGAUGAGGACAAGGCCCUCAGCAGAUGGACCAGAGUACAUGUGAAGAAUAAAAGGGAGAAUGUUCCUGGCGGAUGAACUGAUACACUGAGGAGCUGAAAUACAAACAGGGUGGCUGAAGCACCAAAGAGAAGAAAUGAGCCAGCUCUGGAUUCUGUGUGACCUUGACAGGACCCUGCAGACCAGGGAGGUAGUCUUUGCUGGACGGAGGAGGUUCGAGCUGCUAGUUCAGGUAUCCGUUCAGAGACAGAACUGAGCACACAGAAGGACACCCGUGGGGCACAGAAGGACUCUGGGGCCGUGGUGCACAGCCUUGCCCCGACACAUUUGCUGAGGUCCAGGAAGAUGGCACCCGCCCG
rnacentral:lncRNA from 1 species